AUGAAGGAGGCGACGGCGUCGGGGGGCGGCGCGACGGCGACGGCGAACGACCCGAGGCAGCCGGCGACGGCGAGGCCGUACGCGCCGCCCAAGCUGUCGUCGCAGGACCUGCCCGUCGACUACGCGGGCUUCCUCGCCGUCGUCUUCGGCGUCGUCGGCGUCAUGCUCCACUACAAGGUGUGCUCGUGGAUCGCCAUCAUCUUCUGCGCGCAGUCGCUGGCGAACAUGAAGAACUUCGAGAAUGACCUCAAGCAGCUCUCCAUGGCUUUCAUGUUUGCUGUCAUGGGUUUGGUGACGAACUAUUUCGGGCCUCGCCCAGGCGGCACAAAACGCUAA
rnacentral:rRNA from 1 species